rnacentral:rRNA from 1 species
UCAGUUCGGAUUGAAGGCUGAAAUUCGCCUUCAUGAAGCCGGAAUUGCUAGUAAUGGCAGGUCAGCAUACUGCCGUGAAUACGUUCCCGGGCCUUGUACACACCGCCCGUCACACCAUGAGAGUUGGGAAUACCCGAAGCCUGUGAGCUAACGAAAGAGGCAGCAGUCGAAGGUAGAAUCAAUGAUUGGGGUGAAGUCGUAACAAGGUAUC